rnacentral:rRNA from 1 species
GAUGAACGCUGGCGGCGUGCUUAACACAUGCAAGUCGAACGAAGUGGCGAACGGGUGCGUAACGCGUAAUCAACCUGCCCUUCAGAGGGGGAAAACAGUUGGAAACGACUGUUAAUACCGCAUACUGAAGGAGGGGAUUGCGUCUGAUUAGCUAGUCGGAGGGGCAACGGCCCACCAAGGCGAUGAUCAGUAGCCGGGCUGAGGGGGUGGACGGCCACAUUGGGACUGAGGAACGGGCCAAACUCCUACGGGGAGCAGCAGUGGGGAAACUUCCGAAAAUGACGGAAAGCUGACGGAAGAACGGCGCGUGAGUGGUGGCGGGCUUCAGGUUUUAAAACUCUGUUAAUCGGGGCGCGGUACCGGAAUAAAAAGCAACGGCUAACUCCGUGCCAGCAGCCGCGGUAAUAC